rnacentral:sRNA from 1 species
UCAUCAAUGCUGAACCUAGUUUCAUGA